GGUGAACGCUGGCGGCGUGCUUAAGACAUGCAAGUCGAACGGCAGUCUUCGGGCUCUAGUGGCGCACGGGUGAGUAACGCGUAACUGACCUACCCCAAAGUCGCGGAUAACGAUUCGAAAGAAUCGCUAAUACGUCAUGUGCUGUCAGAUUGUGUUCUGCCAGUAAAGAUUGAUUGCUUUGGGAUGGGGUUGCGUUCCAUCAGCUAGUUGGUGGGGUAAAGGCCCACCAAGGCGACGACGGAUAGCCGGCCUGUGAGGGUGGCCGGCCACAGGGGCACUGAGACACGGGUCCCACUCCUACGGGAGGCAGCAGUUAGGAAUCUUCCACAAUGGGCGAAAGCCUGAUGGAGCGACGCCGCGUGAGGGAUGAAGGUCUUCGGAUCGUAAACCUCUGAAUCAGGGACGAAAGACACUUCGGUGGGAUGACGGUACCUGAGUAAUAGCACCGGCUAACUCCGUGCCAGCAGCCGCUGUAACAC
rnacentral:rRNA from 1 species